UGGGCUACUGGUACUAAAAAGUUACUACUUAAGAGAGAAGAAGUUUCUCCUAUAUACUUCAUCUUUCUAGCUCAUUUGACAGAGGCUACUGAACACACAUAAAAGUAGUUUCAGCUCUGAUGGACCAAGAUGACUCCUGUAAAAGGAAGAAGACAGAAAAUACCAUGUUUUGUCUUUGCAGCAAAUGUCUGAUCAACCCAGGCACAUGACAGCUUUGUCACAACUUUGAUCAUUAACUAGAGCAAGACAGGCCAACAUCUGCUUUUGAAAAAAAUGCUUCGAAAUGCUCAUGUCACCUAGGAGCUGAAGGCUGAUCUGGUGUAAGAGUCAUGGGCUGAAUUAAACACUGGCACUGGGAGGAUGGACUGGGGAGCUACCCACCUGGAAGUCACACUGAGAUGGCCAGCAGCUCCUGAUUCCUUCCUUGAUUCUUCCACCCUAAGGAUGGGGUGGCUGUAGAGGAAUGUAGCUGUUCAAGUCCAAGUUUUGUUCUCAGCCCAGCCAGGAGGCCAGAGGCCAGGGCCCUGCUGUGCCACUGCCGUGUGGGGACAGCCUAAGGGACAAGCAGCACGCGGAGCGACUGGGGAUACGAUGCGAGGGCAAUAGCGUGUGGACGCGGUGCCGAUGGAACGAGGCUGAAGCUCUGCGGUGGUGCUGCUGUGCCUGUGCCAGCUGUGGCUGGGGUGGAUGCAUGGGGCAGCCAGCUGUUCUGCUUGGAAACCCACCCUCCUUUCCCUCCAGAUGUUCCUGCUCACCGGCACGGACAAGCCCCAGCCCUUACCCUCCAAAUGGAUCCUUAUUCCCUGACUCCAGUACUCAGUUCCCAGGGCCCCUUUGCCAGGGUGCCAAUUGGGAAAUUAGCUGGGUGGAUGUUUUGUUUAAUAAUUAAGAUAUAUAUGUAUAAUAAUAUGAUCAGGUCUCAAAUAAUGAGCUCAGAUUUUUUCCCCCUUAUUCCUGCUUUCCAGGGAAUGCUGGCAGGUUUGGCUCUGUGCAUCAUACCACAAAAAUCUCCCUCCUCCAGAAGAGGGCUAAUACACGACGGAGGUUUCUACCAGGCUGAUGUAUCACACAUGCUUUAUAUAUCAGCUUGGAUUUCUUCAGUCCAGACAAAAGGAUCAAAGACAUAGGGAGGGGCAGGGUUUUUGGUGAGCUUUAAUUCUUGCAGACGUGGAGAGCAGGGCAGCGUAUCAUGGCUAGAAAGGCUCAGAUGUAGCCAAACGUAAGAAAUGGUAUUUAUGAGCUGUGCUUUGAAAUUGUUUCUGAAGCUUGUAGAGCAGCUGGUGUCACUUUCAGCUGACAUUCUUACAACUGAAACAUAUACAGCACAGGCAGGAGUAAGAAAUACAAAUUAUGGACAAAGCGUUGUGGAUGAAGGACUGGGAAGUACAUGUUGUGUGGUCCAGGUUGCCUUUUUACAGAUUUAUGUCGUAUUAUCUACGUGAAGCUAAGGCAGGUAUUAAUCCCAGGACUGAAAUGCUGCUAAGAAUGAGAGUAAAUUUAAAUGUCUUCAGCUAAAUUAUUCCACAAAAGGAUACUAUUAUAGGUUCUGCCACAGGUCUCCACCUUUUAACAGGCAAACAUCUGAGAUCUUGCCACUCUUCUCCAGCUCUGAGGGUGUCAUACAGUCACACUCUUGACUUGGAGAAGUUACCUCUGAAGGAUCAUCAGUGGUAUGUAUUUAACAGUAAUAGAAGGAAGGAUGUCUGGAGCAGUUACCCAAUAGUAGUAAUUUAAAAUUUAUUGCAAGUCCCAAAUAUUUGAGGUUUUGUUUUUUUUUCCAAACAUGAUUUACAAGGUUUUCUAUGCUUAUUAAAUGCUUGUU